rnacentral:rRNA from 1 species
GAUGAACGCUGGCGGCGUGCCUAAUACAUGCAAGUCGAGCGAAGAGACGAAGAUCGUGCUGCUGUGACGUUAGCGGCGGACGGGUGAGUAACACGUGGAUAACCUACCUAUAUGACUUGGAUAACUGCGAGAAAGCGUAGCUAAUACCGUAUAAUAUAUUGAACCGGAUGGUGCAGUAGUGAAAGACUGUUUUGCUGUCACUUAUAGAUGUAUCCGCGCCGCAUUGGAUAGUUGGUAAGGUAACGGCUUACCAAGGCAACGAUGCGUAGCCGAAGUGAGCGGGUGGUAGGCCGCCUUGGAACUGAGCCACGCUCCAGACGCCUACGGCAGGCAGCAGUCGGCAACCGUACGCAAUGGGCGAAAGUCUUACGCAGUAAAGCCGAGUCAGUGAUGAAGGUCUUGGGUUCGGAAAGCUCUGUUACUAGGGAAGAACAACUGUCUAAGUAAAUAUGGCCGUAUUGACGGUACCUAAUCAGAAAGCCCCGGCUAACUACGUG